CUCCCUGCAACUUCGACGCCGAGCAGAAGCAAAGAUCUGGGGUAGAAGGAUGCUCCCUGUGUCCCGGGAUGCCUGCGGACGGAGUUCCUUUGCCCAGACCUCGCCCGUUUCCCAGGCUCUCUCCGUAGAUCCCAGCGGGCAGGCACCCACAAGUGCCCUGAGAGCUGAUGCUAGUCAUUGCAAGAAGGAUGGGGUCUCCAGGAGGCAAGAAGUUUAUGAAGAAGCAUCCAUGGGACGAAUGCCUGUGGCCUCCAGGGGGAGAAAGCAGGAGUCACAGAGGGAGAAGAGCAGCCGCGGUGCAGGUUCCAUGUCUUUUCUCCUGGUUCUCAUAUCUGGGAAAUUUAGAAGCCAGCCUUUCCUUCAUCAAGAAUAGCAUGCUUCGGGCUUCCCUGGUGGCGCAGUGGUUGAGAGUCCGCCUGCCGAUGCAGGGGACACG